rnacentral:rRNA from 1 species
AGCAGCCGCGGUAAUUCCAGCUCCAAUAGCGUAUAUUAAAGUUGUUGCAGUUAAAAAGCUCGUAGUUGAACUUCAGGCCUGGCUGGACGGUCCGCCUUCCGGGCGAGUACUGUCUGUGGUCGGGUCCUACCUUCUGGCGAAGCGUCAUGGCCUUAACCGGCCGUGGCGGGGAACCAGGACUUUUACUGUGAAAAAAUUAGAGUGUUCAAAGCAGGCAAUUCGCUUGGAUACAUUAGCAUGGAAUAAUGGAAUAGGACAAUGGUUCUAUUUGUUGGUUUCUAGGACUGUUGUAAUGAUUAAUAGGGAUAGUUGGGGGCAUUAGUAUUCAAUUGUCAGAGGUGAAAUUCUUGGAUUUAUUGAAGACUAACUACUGCGAAAGCAUUUGCCAAGGAUGUUUUCAUUAAUCAAGAACGAAAGUUAGGGGAUCGAAGACGAUCAGAUACCGUCGUA